AUGUAUUCUUGUUACAUUUAUCGUUUACGUGGACACUAGACAUGUUGCUGCUUCUCUUAUCCUGACUGAGACUAGCUAAUUCUCCUUGUUUUGAAGAGCAGUGUCGAGUGUAGAUCAAAAUGCUUGUGCCCAGCCCCAGUGUGUGUUAACCCCAUUGGGGUCAGAGGGGGUGAGCACACCACAUUCUGCGAUGUCUCUGAUGUGUACAAAGCAGUUGAGUCCAGCGCUGAGCCAGGAGGGCAGCGAGGUACCAGUGAUACACCUGACAAAGCAGAGUUGGUGCCACAGUCACAGAUUGUGCAGCCAAGGGAUACUUCCCCAUCGGCAGUCAACAUGGACUUCGUCAAUUGUUUUGAGGGGUGCUGGUGCAUGACGGAUGGAUGCAACGACUGGCGCUGCAUUUGCUUCGCGAGCAAUGUCGAGUGUAGCUCAAAAUGCUUGUGCCUAGACCCAGUGUGUGUUAAUCCCAUUGGGGUCAGAGGGGGUGAGCACACCACAUUCGCUGUCUCCGAUGUGUACAAAGCAGUUGAGUCCAACGCUGAGCUAGGAGGGCAGCGAGGUACCAGUGGUACACCUGGCGAAGCAGGGUUGGUGCCACAGUCACAGAUUGUGCAGCCAAGGGAUACCUCCCCACCAGCAGUCAUUUUUGACUUCCUCGAUUAUGACCUGAGGUGCUGGUGCAAAACGAAUGGAUGCAACGACUGGCACUGCCCUUGCUUCGUGAGCAAUGUCGGGUGUAGCUCAAAAUGCUUGUGCCCAGCCCCAAUGUGUGUUAAUCCCAUUGGGGUCAGAGGGGGUGAGCACACCACAUUCUGCGCUGUCUCUGAUGUGUACAAAGCAGUUGAGUCCAACGCUGAGCCAGGAGGGCGGCAAGGUACGGGUGGCACAAGUAACAUACCUGACGAAGCAGAGCCGGAUUCAGAGCCAAAGCGACAGGCUGUGCAGCCAAGGUGCUGCUGCAUCAAUACCAAAUGCCUCCAUGGGUAUGCACAGACCCGCUGAAUUAUCUGAACCGGAUCCAUCCAGUCAACUAGUCAAUUUGUAUACAGAUUUUCCAGUGCCAUCUAACCAUUGCUUGUCAAUAAAUAUGCUAUGUGCAGCUACUGCGUUUGUUUCAACGGGAACUGGCUUUGCUCUGAGGACUGCGUUUGCGAGGGCUGCCGGAACAUCGGGAGCAACGAGAAGGAGGGCCUCAUGCUAUACAAGGAGUUCGUGAAGAGGAAGUUGGAUAUCGACUACAAGUUUCCCUUUGAGCCUAUUCCAAAGAGAAAGCUGGGCGCUGUUCCUUUAGCUAAGGGCAACCGGUGCCGUUGCACGGUAAUUAUCUGGAUGCUUGACAUGUACCUGCGUGACGCGCAAGACUGGGUGCACCUUAAACUGCAAGUGCAAGGAUUGCCGUAAUCCCUUUGGGGCCAGAGAGGCUGGUGUGUCCAACGCUGGUCCAGGACAAACCACACCACCAUCAAGCACUGGAACGAAACCCAACCGAUGCCAUUGCAAGGUAAACAGAUGCAAAAAAGCGGGGCUGUUACUGUGUGAAGCACAAGGUCAGGUGCACCUCAUAUUGCAAGUGCCUAGGGUGUGAUAAUCCCAAGGGGGCCAAAGGGAGUGAGUCGAACACCGGAUCAGGAAGUGCUGAUGGCGUAGGCAACAUACCUGACGAAGCAGUGCAGACGACCACACCAUCAAUUACUGAACCAGGUCAGGUUGAUACUAGCAGCAUGCCAUAUUGUCCGGAUCAACCCCUACGACCUAUCAGCGAGUGGCCAGGAGGAUUCCAUUGUAUGUGUGUUGGGAGUUAGGGCCUGUUCGGAGUCCCUCCGCUCCCGGAGCUGACGGAGUUUCAGUUAAAAACUGCGGAGCAAACAAAAAGUCGAACAACGGAUCAGGAGGUGCUGAUAGCGUAGGCAACAUACCCGACGAAGCAGUGCAGACGACCACACCAUCAAUUACUGAACCAGGGCAGGUUGAUACUAGCAGCAUGGCAUAUUGCCCGGAUCAGCCCUCACGGCCUAUGAGCGAGUGACCAGGAUUCCAGUGGUGACAGUAGGUUCCAGACAUACCAGAGCAUGAUGCAAGUCACCUGACAUACUUACCAUCCUCAAGACAGUGCCCACUCUCCUCCUGUUCAGAUUCAUGCAUGUUCCUUGUAACGAUUACUCGAAGCAAGCAUGGCGAGAACUCCAUGAUCCUCCGGACAUCCUCGGCGUUGCAAAGUUAGCCUCAGAUGCUUCAGUUGACCUAGAUCCAAUCAGAGCAACACACUUUAGAACAUACAUACAUACAUACAUACAUACAUACAUACAUACAUACAACAUAGUAGUUGCAGUCCAUACACUGCCUGGAAGGGGGUGCUUCAGUUCGUUCUUAUACUACAUAGUCAUUCUCACAAAGGUUUUUCUCUGAUAUCCUAGGAAGAUUCUUUGAAACCCAAAAGUCAGCGGUUGAUGAGAGCACUGGCAGCAUGAAUAGUAUGAUCUGGUAUAGAUGGUUAUUUUUUGCAUUACAAAACAAGCACUGGUUACAUUACAUAAUUCUGAUAAAUAUGCUCUCACGCCUUUCACCA